UACGUAGGGGGCUAGCGUUGUCCGGAAUCAUUGGGCGUAAAGCGCGUGUAGGCGGUCCGGUAAGUCCGCUGUGAAAGUCGGGGGCUCAACCCUCGGAUGCCGGUGGAUACUGUCGGGCUUGAGUACGGAAGAGGCGAGUGGAAUUCCGUGGUGUAGCGGUGAAAUGCGCAGAUAUCAGGAGGAACACCAAUUGCGAAGGCAGCUCGCUGGGACGUUACUGACGCUGAGACGCGAAAGCCAGGGGAGCGAACGGG
rnacentral:rRNA from 1 species